rnacentral:rRNA from 1 species
AACGAACGCUGGCGGCAGGCUUAACACAUGCAAGUUGAACGGGAUUUGCGGAGUGCUUGCACUAUGCAAAGAGAGUAGCGCACUGGUGAGUAACACGUGGGAACAUACCAUAGACUGGGGGAUAACGUUGGGAAACUGGCGAUAAUACCGCAUACGCCCUGAGGGGGAAAGAUUUAUUGGUCUAUGAUUGGCCCGCGCAACAUUAGGUAGUUGGUUAGGUAACGGCUAACCAAGCCUACGAUGUUUAGCUGGUCUGAGAGGACGAUCAGCCACACUGGAACUGAGACACGGUCCAGACUCCUACGGGAGGCAGCAGUAGGGAAUCUUCGGCAAUGGACGGAAGUCUGACCGAGCAACGCCGCGUGAGUGAAGAAGGUUUUCGGAUCGUAAAGCUCUGUUGUAAGAGAAGAACGAGUGUGAGAGUGGAAAGUUCACACUGUGACGGUAUCUUACCAGAAAGGGACGGCUAACUACGUGCCAGCCGCCGCGGUAA